UACAGAGGCCCCAAGCGUUUAGGCGGAAUCACUGGGCUUAAAGCGUGUGUAGGCGGACGUUCUAAGUACCUUGUGAAAUCCCAGCGGCUUAACCAUGGAACUGCUUGGUAUACUGGUCGUCUUGAGCCACUUAGGGGUUACCGGAACAAAUGGUGGAGCGGUGAAAUGCGUAGAUAUCAUUUGGAACGCCAAUGGUGAAAACAGGUAACUGGGAGUGUGCUGACGCUGAGACACGAAAGCCAGGGGAGCGAAACGGGG
rnacentral:rRNA from 1 species